rnacentral:lncRNA from 1 species
GACACCCCUGGACCAAAUCGAGGCCAUGAUCCCCCAACCUCAACUCCAGUUCCAGUUCCAGUUCCAACUCCUGCUCCAACUCCAACUCCAACUCCAUCAAAAUCAGGUGACAAUGCUAAGCCAGGAGGGCCCAAUACCCGCCAUGGUCACAGCCCUCCAACUGCUUGAGGCCUACAUAUAUUCCAAACAUUAAUAAAUAAAUGUAUGUAUACAACUUAUGCCAAUUAUUUAAGUUGAUGGAUGCAAUCAAUAACUUAUUUUGUUACAAUGAUGGGAUCAUAAGUAGAAGGUGUUAUAUUGGAAUUUGUUCUUGAAUGACAUUCGAACCAUAGCACCUGUUCUGACUAUGACAUAAUAAUAUACUAAUUGUGA